rnacentral:misc_RNA from 1 species
GCGAUUUCAAUAUUCAAACCAGCACGAAGAACUUUUCCAGAUUGGAUCAAUUGGGGUACAACUCUCAACACAGUUGAAGAAGGGAUUGCAAAUCCAACACCUGCUGAUGUCCCUGUCUGAGUAAAUAUUGCAGUGUUGAUCCCAAUCAAGUUUCCUUUUGAAUCUAACAAAGGACCUCCGCUGUUGCCAGGGUUGAUGGCUGCAUCUGUUUGUAUUCCUCCACCAAUGGUCACUCCAGUUUGACUAUAUAUAUCUCGAUUAAGUCCACU